CCUACGGGGGGCAGCAGUGAGGAAUAUUGGUCAAUGGGCGCGAGCCUGAACCAGCCAAGUCGCGUGAGGGAUGACUGCCCUACGGGUUGUAAACUUCUUUUGUCAGGGAAUAAAGUGAGGCACGUGUGCCUUUUUGUGUGUACUUUAUGAAUAAGGAUCGGCUAACUCCGUGCCAGCAGCCGCGGUAAUACGGAGGAUCCGAGCGUUAUCCGGAUUUAUUGGGUUUAAAGGGAGCGUAGAUGGGUUGUUAAGUCAGUUGUGAAAGUUUGGGGCUCAACCGUAAAAUUGCAAUUGAUACUGGCUGUCUUGAGUACAGUUGAGGUAGGCGGAAUUCGUGGUGUAGCGGUGAAAUGCUUAGAUAUCACGAAGAACUCCGAUUGCGAAGGCAGCUUACCAAACCGCCACUGACACUGAUGCUCGAAAGCGUGGGUAUCAAACAGGAUUAGAUACCCUUGUAGUC
rnacentral:rRNA from 1 species